GGAGCUGUGGCUCAGUGGCAGAGCAGUUGCCUCAUAUGCAUGAGGAACAGGGUUCGAUUCUCAGCACCA
rnacentral:tRNA from 1 species